rnacentral:lncRNA from 1 species
CGCUCAUUUCUGUUCAUUUUCUGGUUCACUUCAUGGGGCUUCCCCUGGGUCUUAUUUGGAUUGUUAGAAUCAGAAACGACAGCCACUGAACCCACUUAAAUCUAAGUCAAGCAUUGCAUGAACUGUUCUUAGGGACCCCGGAGUCAUUUUGGAAGGGGGAGUGGAGGAGGCAUUUCACUAGGGGAAGACCUAGCACCUCUUUCCUUUGAAAAGUUUUAGCAUCAGCUGAAAGAUGCUGAAGGACCCUCGGCAGCUGCAAAUGGCCUGAGGAGUACACACCCUAUAGCCUGGAUGCGGCUAUGUGCUUGGAAGUUGGUUAUCCUACGGCCUGGGCUAUAUUCCAAUCUGGGUGAUCCCCGAGGACAGUGUUUCUUCAGUGUGUGUUCGGCAUCCAUCACAACCGGCAUAGACCCAGGUGUUCGUGAAAAGAGCAGAUUCUGGAACUCCACUGAAGCCUUAAUGACCCCCGCCCUUGGAGGUGGGGCCCAGGAGUGUGGCCUUUCUUUAACAUUCUCAGGGUGCCUUUCCCUUUGCCUUAAUCUGUCAGCCACUGAAAGGCAGAGGGACUUCAGCCAGCUCGGACUUGGGAACAGUGUCAGGCAGCAGAGCGUCCCUUCCAGCAGGCAAGAAUGAUGGCUAGGGAAUGGCCAAGAGGAAGCAGUGACCAGUGGCCUUUGGCUAUAAAACAGCCUCGGGCAAGUGCCAGAGCUGGAAGCAAAGUCGGGCUCAAAAAAAAAAAACACAGCCUGGUUAUAUCUUGGCCUAGAGGUCCACUGGGCUUUUAAUACUUAAGUGGAAAACCAGAUAUGUUCUUCCCACACUCAACACCCUCUUCAAUGUCCAUCCCCCACCCAGCAUCUCUCAUCCAACUUGUACUUUCCCCAAAGUGAUCAAGUGGAAAGUUUAAUCCAGGAAGAGAAGGGAUGGGGAGCUGCUGGGGUGGGGGGGAAAAACGAGUUGGUUGCCAUGGGAACCUUGCCUGCUGCAGGGUCUGAAUGGUUUUCUGUUUGCUGACGUCCAGUUCUUUAGGGCAGGCCCUGGCAUCAGCAGGGGCCUGGGCACCGCAUCCUCUGUGUCCCGUUUCCGGCAUCCGGCCCAGCGGCAUCCACCCUAACAGGUCUCCUGGUAGCAGGCAGGGUGUCCGGGACUGAAUGCUUCCUCCUGACCUCUUGUCCUGCCGCUGCUGCCCUCCCAAGCUGGGAAGUGAAGGAAAGCUGAGGGUGUUUCCCAACUCUUUGAAGAGAGAGUCCUUGUUUUUUCUUGCAUAUUAUUCUUUCUUUCCUCAUCAUCCAAACAUGAGCCCUUGGCCAUUUGCCUGUCUCCCUGCUGGCCAGCUGUCCUUGCCAUUCUCAGUUCUGAAUUUCUAUUUAUCUCACAAGGACUGCAGAGUUUGUUUUCAUCCAGCUUGGUACACCGACUGAGCUGCUGUCACAAGUUUGCUCUCUGAACUAUCGCCUCCAGCAGCUGGUGAGGAAAGGCUGGAAAGAUGGCCAUACACAUGAUCUAGGGAGAGGUCUGAUGGUUUUAGCUUAUUUGAAUGGUUUAUUAGACCCAGAUGAGGAGCGACCGAAGCCUCUAGGUGCCUACUCAUGCUGCAUAUGGAGUACAUGCCGUCAUGCUGUGGGGCUACCAUGCUCACAUACCAAUGUCUCCCUCUGCCAGUUGUUUCCACUACUCUUGCUUAGAAAGUCCUUGCCACCCAUUUUUACUUUGGCUUAUCAAGCCCUGAAUAUACCAGCACCUGCUUUCCUCCCUAGUGGCUUACCGUGCAUCUCUCCUUUUCAUAGUCACCUUGCACCAGGCAAAAAGGCCUUUGUGCAGUUACUGUACAGACCUGGCAGUUUUCGGUUGCAGGGCCUUUGCACAUCAACGCCCCACUCCCAGCCCCAAUCCUCCCUUCCAGCACAUUCUUACCUGGCUUCCUAUAGUUAAUUCCUUCUAAUCUUUCAGGUCCUAUCACACAUCAGCUCCUCAGUCAGGCCUUUCUGGAUCAUUCUAAUGUGCCCCCUCCUUGUUCUGUAUAUAAGCACCCUUCUCGUUCUUCACAGCAUUUGUGAUAUUUGUUUACUUUAUAUUUUCCUACUCUUGACUAAACUAUGAAGGCCAAUGAGUCAGGGACUAUUUAUGCUUCGGAGGCGUAAAAGUUAAGCCAACUUUAUCAUACUGCCUGGUGCCAUAUUUAUUGAAUAAAUGAAAUAGUAGCUCGUUUCUACCCAUCCUUCCAAAUUCUACCUGGAAGGCAAUUGCCUCCUUGUGUAGGUCUUUCCUGACUGCCCUCCACGAGCUCCCCUCCCAGGCUUUGGUGGGGCGUCUGCCCUGAGUGUUCCCCUGCACCCCAGGCCUACCUCUCUGUGUGCUUUAUGGUGCCUCAUUGCUUGCAGGAAGGUCCUUUUCUUUAAGCAGAUGGUAGGCUUUGUAAGGGAAGGAUUAUAACUCAUUUCUAGAAAAAUGUCUGACACACAGAGAUUGCCUAACCUGACCAAUGUUGGUUAAAUGCAUAAGUGAAUGAAUAAAAGACAGGUACUAUUUCAGAGAUGUAUGGAAAACUCAGAGUGGAGCUAGUACCUACUUCAAAAAGGAAAAAAAUGUCUUUCGAAAAGUCUCAGAAGAAACAUUUUGUACAAUUAGGUUCUCACGUUUCCUGGUCUUUCUUUCUUUUUUUUUUUUUUGCCUUUUUAGGGCCACACGCAAGGCAUAUGGAGGUUCCCAGGCUAGGGGUCAAAUCAGAGCUAUAGCUGCCAGCCUAUGCCACAACAACACAGAUUCGAGUUGCAUCUGCGACCUACACCACAGCUCAUGGCAAUGCCGGAUUAUUUACCCACUGAGCGAGGGCAGGGAUUGAAUGUGCGUCCUCAUGGAUACUAUUCAGAUUUGUUUCUGCUGAGCCACAACGGGAACUCCUCCUGGUCCCCCAUUUUAUCUGGAGAUAUUCCAGUAACCUAGGUAAGCAACAAUCUGGUAAAUUCUUAAAGAUAAAUUAAACCAAGAUGUCCCAACUCUUCCAACUAAAAUCUUCAAUCAUUACAGGAUUUUGGAUGCUUGUUCCAAAAGCUCUUUUUUUUUUUAGGGCCACACUUGCAGCAUACGGAAGUUUCCAGGCUAGGGGAUGAAUCAGAGCUACUAGCCUACGCCACAGCCUACGCCAUAUCUGAGCCACAUCUGCAACCUACACCACGGUUUUGGCAACACCAUAUCCUUAAUCCACUGAGUGAGGCCAGGGAUCAAACCAGCUUCCUCAUAGACACUAUGUCAGGUUCUUAAACUGCUGAGCCACAACAGGAAAUCCUUUUUCCCAAAUCUUGAAACAAGGGUGGGAAGGUGAAUUAUAGUCACCUCUUUGGGCCUCAGUUUCCUCAUCCGUAAUAAGAAAGAUGGAUGACAUCAUCUCUAAAGUAUCUUCCAGUUC